UAUGAAUAUUUAUUUCAGAACACACAAGGAUACGAACACUAUUAAUGAAAUAGUUAUUUAUAAAUUUAAACACAUCUAUUGCCUUUUUUUUGCUAAGAUAUGGCUUGUUUGUAAAUUCGGAAUUUAAACUAAGCGAUUGUUCAUCUAAAUUAAUUUUAUGGAUUGAAAGUCCCUAUUAUUUUUUAGAUAUUUUUUUUAUAAUUGCUAAAGGUAUAUAGAGUUUAUUGCCUUUAUUUUUUUAUAUUUUUUUAUCAAUCGUUAACGCCAUAGGAAAGCAAGUUAAACUGCUUAAAAAUUUUUUAAUACUUAAAAAUUUUUUGUUAUGGAAUAAACUUUUUUUUUUUUAUACUUUUAAUUUUCACUGAUUUCAUUAAAUAUUUACCGGCAGCCGUUAGAAUUAU